GACGAACGCUGGCGGCGUGCUUAACACAUGCAAGUCGAACGCUGAAGCUUGGUGCUUGCACUGGGUGGCUGAGUGGCGAACGGGUGAGUAAUAAGUGAGUAACCUGCCCUUGACUCUGGGAUAAGCCUGGGAAACUGGGUCUAAUACUGGAUACGACAUGUCACCGCAUGGUGGUGUGUGGAAAGGGUUUUACUGGUUUUGGAUGGGCUCACGGCCUAUCAGCUUGUUGGUGGGGUAAUGGCUCACCAAGGCGACGACGGGUAGCCGGCCUGAGAGGGUGACCGGCCACACUGGGACUGAGACACGGCCCAGACUCCUACGGGAGGCAGCAGUGGGGAAUAUUGCACAAUGGGCGGAAGCCUGAUGCAGCGACGCCGCGUGAGGGAUGACGGCCUUCGGGUUGUAAACCUCUUUCAGCACGGAAGAAGCGAAAGUGACGGUACGUGCAGAAGAAGCGCCGGCUAACUACGUG
rnacentral:rRNA from 1 species